rnacentral:rRNA from 1 species
UACGGGGGGGGCAAGCGUUGUUCGGAAUUACUGGGCGUAAAGGGCUCGUAGGCGGCCAACUAAGUCAGACGUGAAAUCCCCAGGCUCAACCUGGGAACUGCGUCUGAUACUGGAUGGCUUGAAUCCGGGAGAGGGAUGUGGAAUUCCAGGUGUAGCGGUGAAGUGCGUAGAUAUCUGGAGGAACACCGGUGGCGAAGGCGGCAUCCUGGACCGGUAUUGACGCUGAGGCGCGAAAGCCAGGGGAGCAAACGGG